rnacentral:sRNA from 1 species
GUAGCACUCCUGUAAAGUCCUCUGCUACCCUCAAAAUUGCUAGUGCUAGGGAAGCAGCUUCUUGAUCACCCUUCCCCACCAUCUGGUUUCAUCCUUAGCCUGGAAAGACCUUUGUUAGGGGUGAGAAGGUAGUUCAUUUUCCAUGCUCAAUUAAUCCUUGGGCUUCU